GAUGAACGCUGGCGGCGUGCCUAACACAUGCAAGUCGAGCGAUUCUCUUCGGAGAAGAGCGGCGGACGGGUGAGUAACGCGUGGGUAACCUGCCCUGUACACACGGAUAACAUACCGAAAGGUAUGCUAAUACGAGAUAAUAUGCUUUUAUCGCAUGGUAGAAGUAUCAAAGCUUUUGCGGUACAGGAUGGACCCGCGUCGGAUUAGCUAGUUGGUAAGGUAACGGCUUACCAAGGCGACGAUCAGUAGCCGACCUGAGAGGGUGAUCGGCCACAUUGGAACUGAGACAAGGUCCAAACUCCUACGGGAGGCAGCAGUGGGGAAUAUUGCACAAUGGGCGAAAGCCUGAUGCAGCAACGCCGCGUGAGCGAUGAAGGCCUUCGGGUCGUAAAGCUCUGUCCUCAAGGAAGAUAAUGACGGUACUUGAGGAGGAAGCCCCGGCUAACUACGUGCCAGCCGCCGCCGUAAUAC
rnacentral:rRNA from 1 species